rnacentral:lncRNA from 1 species
AAGGCACUUGCAUUAUCCUGCACAAUUUAAACUUGAGUUGAUACAAACUCGAGACUUGAUAGCUAUGAUGUUCAUGUCACUUCAUUAUCCUGUCAAACAGACACCCCGUAAGCCAAUCAAGAAAAUGAUGGCACGUGGCGUUCUUGGCACAAACCUCUGCAAGUUCACUAGACACCCUACCCCUGCCCCUUUUUCCAUUAUUCAAAUCUUCCUUUCUUUUUUCUUUUAUUCUUGAAAACAGGAAACUUAAUGCUAAAAUAUACUAGUUGUUUAUUCAGUCAUCGGCUUUGACAUCUCUAGCUCAAAAGAGUAUCUAAUAAGAGACAGAAAAGAAAAUGACCCCAUAAGACUCCUGAACGUUUGGAGUUUAAACCAGCUUCCAUGUUGCAUAACUAGAUAAGCUCAAACAGACACCCGUAAGCCAAUCAAGAAAAUGAUGGCGCGUGGCAUUCUUGGCACAAAGCUCUGCGAGUUCACUAGCCACCCCACCCCUGCCUUUUUGUCAUUAUUCAAAUCUUCCUUUCUUUCUUUUUUCUUUUAUUAUUGGAAACAGGAAACUUAAUGCUAAAAUAUACUAGUUGUUUAUUCGGUCAUCCGCUUUGACAUCUCAAGCUCAAAAGAGUAUCUAAUCAGAUAAAGAAAAGAAAAUAACCCCAUAUGACUCCUGAAUGUUUGGAGUUUAAAGCAGCUUCCAUGUUGCAUAACUAGAUAAGAAAGUCAUGGAUGCCAAUCAUAAUUAAAUUAUAUAGUUGCUUACUUAUCAAAAAGAUCAAAUUUGAGUUGUAUCAAUCUCCACUCAAAUUCUACUAGAAGUUAACCGAUAUAUUAGACAUAAAAUAUAUGAUAUCUCGUGUUUGUGUUGGUAUUACAAUUAUACAAUAGAAAGCCAUGACACGAACCAACAUUACAUCAAUCAAUAAUCCUUGAUUUCUGUUAAGAGUGAAAUCAUAAUCUCAUUGUUGUUGAAACCAUAACUCCGAGGGUCAGGGGCGAAGCUAUGUUGGCCCAAGGGUGGUCAACUAAUUUGCCAUUAUACUACGUAUAAGGUAAAUUAUUACUUGUUAUUGAUUAAAAAUAGACUUUAAACACCCUUGCAUAGUCCACUGGCAAAGGGUGAUCAAAAUUUGAACCCUUAUUGAAUUUCCUGGCUUCGCCGCUGCCAAGGGUGAUAAUAAUGUCAAAGAGUAAACACACAAAUGUGGUUAUAGUUUUGAGGUUACUAUUAAAGAUAUAAUUUCAUUGUUUCUGCACUUUUUUCCCUGCAUAAAUAUGCUGACGGAUCUUCUGUUAUAUGUGAUGUUUAAAAGGGACAAAACGGACAUGCAGGAUAUUUCAGCGCUAGAGUAGUCCGCCAAAUCUAGCAAAUAGAUGUGCUAUUACAUCACAGAGACCAACCUUUUUGAGCAAUUGUAGUCCCACCUGAGGCUAGUUAGCUUGAGUUGUCUAUCCUACUUCUUGCCGCUUGAUCCUAUGGUAGAAAAACUUCCAACUUCUUGAUGCACUUCUGUUAUAUUUUCUAAUUCCUUCCGUUUCAGUAAGAAUUAUCUUUUGAAAAUUUUAGUUAGGAAUAUAAUCAUGAUACACAGGAAGAUUCAACAACAACAACAAGAACCACCCAGUAUAAUCCCACUUAGUGGGGUCUGGGAAGGGUAGUAUGUACACAGACCUUACCCCUA